rnacentral:rRNA from 1 species
UACGUAGGUGGCAAGCGUUGUCCGGAUUUACUGGGCGUAAAGGGCGUGCAGGCGGUUUGUUAAGUCUAGGGUGAAAGCUCCCGGCUCAACUGGGAGAGGUCCUUGGAUACUGGCAGACUUGAGGAGGGUAGAGGAGAGUGGAAUUCCCGGUGUAGUGGUGAAAUGCGUAGAUAUCUGGAGGAACACCGGUGGCGAAGGCGGCAUCCUGGACCGGUAUUGACGCUGAGGCGCGAAAGCUAGGGGAGCAAACGGG